rnacentral:rRNA from 1 species
CGUGUAGGCGGAAUGGAAAGCGAGAUGUGAAAGCCCUUGGCUCAACCAAGGAAGAGCAUUUCGAACUACUGUUCUUGAGUACGGGAGAGGGAGGUAGAAUUCCCGGUGUAGAGGUGAAAUUCGUAGAUAUCGGGAGGAAUACCGGUGGCGAAGGCGGCCUCCUGGACCGAUACUGACGCUGAGACGCGAAAGCGUGGGGAGCAAACA